rnacentral:rRNA from 1 species
UACAGAGGUGGCAAGCGUUGUUCGGAAUUACUGGGCGUAAAGGGCGCGUAGGCGGCCUUCUAAGUCAGACGUGAAAUCCCCCGGCUUAACCUGGGAACUGCGUCUGAUACUGGAGAGCUUGAGUGCGGGAGAGGGAUGUGGAAUUCCAGGUGUAGCGGUGAAAUGCGUAGAUAUCUGGAGGAACACCGGUGGCGAAGGCGGCAGCCUGGACCGACACUGACGCUGAGGCGCGAAAGCUAGGGUAGCAAACGGG